GUGGAAUCCUGCUGUGUGUGAGCAUCCAUGUCAACUUUAGUACCUGGGAUGUUUUCUUUUGUAAAAUAACUAUACCAGCAAUUAAAAAAUGUUGAAAUGAUUGCUCAUUCCACAAAUGACUGAUCAACUUGCAAACACCAUCAAAUCUGAAUUACUUUCAUGGAGAAUGUGGGUAGAAAGGGGAGGCAAGAAUCAAGAUCCCUGAUAUCUAGGAGCUCGCAGAGUAUAUGGGAAUACAGAAUACAGGUUUUAAAAAUGCAGGUUAAUGCUUUGGCUGGUGUGGCUCUGUGGAUUGAGAGCCGGCCUGCAAACCAAAGGGUCAUUGAUUGGAUUUCCAGUCAGGCCCCUUGCAAUGUGACAUUGAUGCUCCUUCUGUCAAGAGAAGAUGAUUUCUCCAUGUCAUUGAAUUUGGGGCAGGCUCCUGACCACUUUCACUAAUGGAAGGUGGCUAGAGACUGAGACCUCCAUGUUGUGAAGAAACCUGGGUGUAGCUUACUGGAGCUCCACAUGGAGAAGGACUGAGCUCCCAGCCAUAUGAAUGGGGCCAUCAUGGAUAGCCAGGACCCGCUGAAGCCAUCAGUGAGGCAGCCCUGUGUAUAAGCCUAGGGAAGACAAGAAGCAGAACUUCCCAUAUUGCUAACCAGCAGAAUUGUGAGAAAUAAUAACUGGUCACUGAGUUGUGGGGUAUUUUUUUUUUUCACAGAAACAGGUAAUCCAAACAACUAAACUAUAAAAGGGAUUGCUUGUUGAAGAAAACUUAACCAGUUAAUCUGAAACUGUCCAAACACUAAUCAAAGAGGAAAUAAGAGUCUACUUGUAUGUAUUUAAAAUUUACAAGAAAUACAAUAGAAUGAUAAUUUGUAAGUGAAAAUUUUUAAAAAUUGAAAUGAAUUUUUAAAAUUUUACAUCUUUAAUAAAUUGUGUAUUACUUUGAAAUAUGGUUAGUCAUCCUUUCUUUUGACUUCAUCAGACAUAUUAGUGAAGCCCCUACUCAAAAGCCUGCUACUCUGGAACCCUGUUCAGGGAGGGCGCACCCAAUUACCAGUGUCUGGAAGUAUGAGCUGCUAACAUCUUAUAGCUUCCCUCUUCCCCAGAAUGACCCCAAUCCCACAUAACCCUUUCCCCAGAGAUUUCUUGGAGGUGGAGCCAGCCCAUACCCCUGCUGGACUAACAGUGACAAAAAAAGCUAGUUCCCUGGCCUCUGCCAGGUAGAGCAGACAGCCAGAUGGAAUUUCUGCUCCACACAGCUUCAGCUGUGGAUCAGGCAAAACUGAACUCCAAAGGAAUCUCCUAUUCACCCACAUUUCCCACCUGCUCCUGCCUCCUUCAGCUUUCUCCUGAAAGCUUUUCCCAUGAUAAAGCACCUGGUGAGAAUCCCCAUCUCAGGCUCUGCCUUCAGGACACCAGCUAAAGUCAAGCUUAUAAAGUGGUAGGGAUGGUCACAGAUUUCCUAACUUGGACCAGGCUUGCCAUUUGGAGGAGAAACCCUACUUGGUGUGAGUUUAUUUUUUCUUUAAUAUGUUUUUGUGUUGCAUGUGAUAGUAU